CUGCAUAUGAUGAUCAAAUGUCACUGAAUGUUGGACCCAAUCUAUUUUUGAGAAGGUCCGACUAGCAAGGAUGUUCGCUUUUGCGAGGCAUUUGUCUGAUGCAAUG